GGGUAGAGGUAACACGUGGGAAUCUGCCCAGGAGUGGGGAACAAACUCCGAGAAAUCGGAGCUAAUACCGCAUACGGUCUUUCGCAAGAGAGACUAAAGCCUUCGGGCGCUUUUGGAGGAGCCUGCGGCUGAUUAGCUAGUUGGUGGGGUAAAAAGCCUACCAAGGCCGUGAUCAGUAGCUGGUCUGAGAGGAUGGACAGCCACACUGGGACUGAGAUACGGCCCAG
rnacentral:rRNA from 1 species